GCCCCCGGGAUCCGAGCGGCUGGCCGGAGGCCAGGCCUGCCGGACGCAGGCUUCAGCUCAGCCCGGCCACCCUCCCCAGUCGGCUCGGUGGUCUGGCUAGGGCCGUGCAGUCUGUGUGACCCCGGACAAGUCCCUUAACCUCUCCGAGUCUGUUUCAUUCUCGAUCUUCACUUAUCAGCAAGCAACAGGAGGCCCAAUGACAUUACUGGGUGAUAUCUUGACUCUUUCGCGAAUUGGAUUUAAGUGAGGUAGAGCUGGAGAAAGCCAUCAGCCUCACUCUCCCAGAAUCAUCCCAGUCCAGUGGCAUGACAAAAGUCAGGACAAACAGUGAUGGCCCAGGACGGCCUCAGUGGAUAGAUGUCUGGGAUGUCUGACCAACCUCUAAGCACUCCACCUGCUUCAGCCAUCUUCAUGGUUGCUGAAACAAGCUGUUCUCACGUGCCCAUUCCACCUGGCGAAGUCUUCAUGUGCUUAGGGUAGAUACUGGCCUAACUCAAGGCCUGUGGUCACCCUCAUGUUUUGUGCCUGAGGGCAUGAGGAGCCUCAGGGGUUUCUGUAGUUCUCUCAAGCACACAAUAAUAAAGAAUAAAAACUGUUUCGGGCAGACUAA